CGCCUUCUUAUCUUCUUUGAUUAGGCUU
rnacentral:sRNA from 1 species